CCUACGGGUGGCUGCAGUGGGGAAUUUUGGACAAUGGGGGCAACCCUGAUCCAGCCAUUCCGCGUGAGUGAAGAAGGCCUUCGGGUUGUAAAGCUCUUUCGGCCGGGAAGAAAUCGCAUCUCCUAAUACGGGGUGUGGAUGACGGUACCGGAAGAAGAAGCACCGGCUAACUACGUGCCAGCAGCCGCGGUAAUACGUAGGGUGCGAGCGGCAAUCGGAAUUACUGGGCGUAACGCGUAGACAGGUGGCAAAUCCCCGGGCUUAACCUGGGAACGGCGUUUGUGACUGGGGGGCGUGAGUGCGGCAGAGGGGGGUGGAAUUCCACGUGUAGCAGUGAAAUGCGUAGAGAUGUGGAGGAACACCGAUGGCGAAGGCAGCCCCCUGGGUCGACACUGACGCUCAUGCACGAAAGCGUGGGGAGCAAACAGGAUUAGAUACCCUGGUAGUC
rnacentral:rRNA from 1 species